rnacentral:rRNA from 1 species
GACGAACGCUGGCGGCGUGCUUAACACAUGCAAGUCGAACGGAAAGGCCCUGCUCUUGUGGGGUGCUCGAGUGGCGAACGGGUGAGUAACACGUGAGUAACCUGCCCUUGACUUUGGGAUAACUUCAGGAAACUGGGGCUAAUACCGGAUAGGAGCUCCUGCUGCAUGGUGGGGGUUGGAAAGUUUCGGCGGUUGGGGAUGGACUAGCGGCUUAUCAGCUUGUUGGUGGGGUAGUGGCUUACCAAGGCUUUGACGGGUAGCCGGCCUGAGAGGGUGACCGGCCACAUUGGGACUGAGAUACGGCCCAGACUCCUACGGGAGGCAGCAGUGGGGAAUAUUGCACAAUGGGCGGAAGCCUGAUGCAGCAACGCCGCGUGCGGGAUGACGGCCUUCGGGUUGUAAACCUCUUUCGCCUGUGACGAAGCGUGAGUGACGGUAAUGGGUAAAGAAGCACCGGCUAACUACGUG